UACCAGACUCCUACGGGAGGCAGCAGUGGGGAAUAUUGGGCAAUGGGCGCAAGCCUGACCCAGCGACGCCGCGUGAGGGAAGACGGUCUUCGGAUUGUAAACCUCUUUCAGCAGGGAAGACAAAAGGACGGUACCUGCAGAAGAAGCCGCGGCUAACUACGUGCCAGCAGCCGCGGUAAUACGUAGGUGGCAAGCGUUAUCCGGAAUUACUGGGUGUAAAGGGUGUGUAGGCGGGGCUGCAAGUCAGAUGUGAAAAUUAUGGGCUCAACCCAUAACCUGCGUCUGAAACUGUAGCUCUUGAGAGUGGGAGAGGUAAACGGAAUUCCCGGUGUAGCGGUGAAAUGCGUAGAUAUCUGGAGGAACAUCAGUGGCGAAGGCGACUAUCUGGCACAUAACUGACGCUGAGGAGCGAAAGCGUGGGUAGCAAGCAGGAUUAGAUACCCUUGUAA
rnacentral:rRNA from 1 species